rnacentral:rRNA from 1 species
GCGCGCGCAGGCGGUCCUUUAAGUCUGAUGUGAAAUCUUGCGGCUCAACCGCAAGCGGUCAUUGGAAACUGGGGGACUUGAGUGCAGAAGAGGAAAGCGGAAUUCCACGUGUAGCGGUGAAAUGCGUAGAGAUGUGGAGGAACACCAGUGGCGAAGGCGGCUUUCUGGUCUGUAACUGACGCUGAGGCGCGAAAGCGUGGGGAGCAAACAGGAUUAGAUACCCUGGUAGUCCACGCCGUAAACGAUGAGUGCUAAGUGUUGGAGGGUUUCCGCCCUUCAGUGCUGCAGCUAACGCA